AGAGUUUGAUCCUGGCUCAGGACGAACGCUGGCGGCGUGCUUAACACAUGCAAGUCGAGCGGUAAGGCUCCUUCGGGAGUACACGAGCGGCGAACGGGUGAGUAACACGUGAGCAAUCUGCCCAUCACAUCGGGAUAACUUCGGGAAACCGAAGCUAAUACCGAAUACAACCACUUCAGGCAUCUGACGGUGGUGGAAAUGUUCCGGCGGUGAUGGAUGAGCUCGCGGCCUAUCAGCUUGUUGGUGGGGUAAUGGCCUACCAAGGCUUCGACGGGUAGCCGGCCUGAGAGGGUGACCGGCCACACUGGGACUGAGACACGGCCCAGACUCCUACGGGAGGCAGCAGUGGGGAAUAUUGGACAAUGGGCGAAAGCCUGAUCCAGCAACGCCGCGUGAGGGAUGACGGCCUUCGGGUUGUAAACCUCUUUCAGCGCCGACGAAGCGAAAGUGACGGUAGGCGCAGAAGAAGCACCGGCCAACUACGUGCCAGCAGCCGCGGUAAUACGUAGGGUGCGAGCGUUGUCCGGAAUUAUUGGGCGUAAAGGGCUCGUAGGCGGUCUGUCGCGUCGGGAGUGAAAACUCAGGGCUUAACCCUGAGCCUGCUUCCGAUACGGGCAGACUAGAGGUAUGCAGGGGAGAACGGAAUUCCUGGUGUAGCGGUGAAAUGCGCAGAUAUCACGAGGAACACCAGUGGCGAAGGCGGUUCUCUGGGCAUUACCUGACGCUGAGGAGCGAAAGUGUGGGGAGCGAACAGGAUUAGAUACCCUGGUAGUCCACACCGUAAACGUUGGGCGCUAGGUGUGGGACUCAUUCCACGAGUUCCGUGCCGCAGCUAACGCAUUAAGCGCCCCGCCUGGGGAGUACGGCCGCAAGGCUAAAACUCAAAGGAAUUGACGG
rnacentral:rRNA from 1 species